GACGAACGCUGGCGGCGUGCUUAACACAUGCAAGUCGAACGGAAAGGCCCUGCUUUUGUGGGGUGCUCGAGUGGCGAACGGGUGAGUAACACGUGAGUAACCUGCCCUUGACUUUGGGAUAACUUCAGGAAACUGGGGCUAAUACCGGAUAGGAGCUCCUGCUGCAUGGUGGGGGUUGGAAAGUUUCGGCGGUUGGGGAUGGACUCGCGGCUUAUCAGCUUGUUGGUGGGGUAGUGGCUUACCAAGGCUUUGACGGGUAGCCGGCCUGAGAGGGUGACCGGCCACAUUGGGACUGAGAGACGGCGCAGACUCCUACGGGACGCAGCAGUGGGGAAUAUUGCACAAUGGGCGGAAGCCUGAUGCAGCAACGCCGCGUGCGGGAUGACGGCCUUCGGGUUGUAAACCGCUUUCGCCUGUGACGAAGCGUGAGUGACGGUAAUGGGUAAAGAAGCGCCGGCUAACUACGUG
rnacentral:rRNA from 1 species